rnacentral:rRNA from 1 species
GACGAACGCUGGCGGCGUGCCUAAUACAUGCAAGUCGGGCGGACCGAACGAGGGCUUGCUCUUGUUUGGUCAGCGGCGGACGGGUGAGUAACACGUGGGCAACCUGCCCGCAAGACCGGGAUAACUCCGGGAAACCGGAGCUAAUACCGGAUAACACCGAAGACCGCAUGGUCUUCGGUUGAAAGGCGGCCUUUGGGCUGUCACUUGCGGAUGGGCCCGCGGCGCAUUAGCUAGUUGGUGAGGUAACGGCUCACCAAGGCGACGAUGCGUAGCCGGCCUGGAAGGGGGAGCGGCGACAGGGGAACUGAGACACGGGCCAGAGGCCGAGGGGAGGGAGCGGUAGGGAAGGCGAGGGAGGGGGCGGAAGGUUGACGGGGGGACGCCGCGGGAGGGAGGAGGGUGUGGGGAGGGGAAGAGGCUGGUAGGAGGGAAGAACAAAGGUGGAAGGAAAGAUGCAGGGGGUGAGGGUACCUAAUCAGAAAGCCACGGCGAACUACGGG